rnacentral:rRNA from 1 species
AGUUCUCCCUGAGACUUAGAGUCUCCUGAAGGAACGUUGAAGACGACAACGUUGAUAGGCCGGGUGUGUAAGCGCAGCGAUGCGUUGAGCUAACCGGUACUAAUGAACCGUGAGGCUUAACCUUACAACGCCGAAG